UGUAAGUCGCUCUGGAUAAGUCGCUCUGGAUAAGAGUGUCUGCUAAAUGACGUAAA
rfam:Salmo salar isolate Sally breed double haploid chromosome ssa21, whole genome shotgun sequence.